AUAGGUUAAUGAGGCGAACCGGGGGAACUGAAACAUCUAAGUACCCCGAGGAAAAGAAAUCAACCGAGAUUCCCCCAGUAGCGGCGAGCGAACGGGGAGCAGCCCAGAGCCUGAAUCAGUGUGUGUGUUAGUGGAAGCGUCUGGAAAGGCGCGCGAUACAGGGUGACAGCCCCGUACACAAAAAUGCACAUGCUGUGAGCUCGAUGAGUAGGGCGGGACACGUGGUAUCCUGUCUGAAUAUGGGGGGACCAUCCUCCAAGGCUAAAUACUCCUGACUGACCGAUAGUGAACCAGUACCGUGAGGGAAAGGCGAAAAGAACCCCGGCGAGGGGAGUGAAAAAGAACCUGAAACCGUGUACGUACAAGCAGUGGGAGCACGCUUAGGCGUGUGACUGCGUACCUUUUGUAUAAUGGGUCAGCGACUUAUAUUCUGUAGCAAGGUUAACCGAAUAGGGGAGCCGAAGGGAAACCGAGUCUUAACUGGGCGUUAAGUUGCAGGGUAUAGACCCGAAACCCGGUGAUCUAG
rnacentral:rRNA from 1 species